GCAUUUUCAUUGGUGUUGGUGUCGUAUUUCUGAAUUAUGAACACUAAAAUCUUGUGUCUCUCUCUCUCUGGUUGCAUUUUGGAUCUCUGUAAACAUUUAUUUUGCCCUCCACUUUCUAUUCACCUAUUCUCACCAUCAACCUCUAGCAUAGCUUUCAUAUAUCUGCCAGGUGUAUGUCUAAUCAUGCCACAUUUAUUGUUUUGCAUUUACGUUUUUCAAGUCACCACAGUUUUACUACCUCCCUUCUUACAACAACCACUCGCUCUACAGAACUUAUCUUUAGCUUGGUCUGGCUGUUACGGUACCCUAAGUGGCCAUAGGUAGUGUAGCGGAUCGGCAAUAUUAAAUCCCACGAAUUCCGCUGGUACAGAAAGUAAUCCACAGUCAAGCGCUGAAAAGUAAGGCAAUAUCCCAAAUCCCCCAGUAACCGGACGAAACACAGUUCUGGGAGUCAACUGAGGUCUUUAUUCACAUGCUCCAGUAUUUAUACAAUUCCCCAUGCAAGGGGUUUCCUGAGUCACAUCACAGGGGCAUUACAGGAGUGGACUACAUGGGAAACAAUGUACAGGGCAUUUCUCCCAUCAGGCACUGCUGCACGUGAGGGACACUCCCACUGGAAUGUACCGUUAAGUGGAUUAUCCCUCCGUGCAGCAGAACUGACAAGUUACAUUAAAAUCUAUAACUUCAAUAAUACUUGGCAGAUUUAAACGAAUGGACGUUCGGUAGAUAGCUGGGGUCUGAAUGCACAGUUCGUGAGAACCCCGCUCAGAUCCCAGCUAAAACAACCGAACGCCGCACUAAAUACACUUUGCCAUAGAGUUCGCCCCAAAAUACCGAACACCGAUGGGGGACCCUAAUGGCGAAAGACUGGAGCUCCCGAACGGCCUGGAAGCCCAGCGGUGUUCGCGCCGUCGAGUAGCCGUUUUCAGUUCCAUGCGCUCGACAACCAAACACCGCUGGGAGGAACAAAGGAUCCAAGAUGGCCUACCGCCGCGUGGUCGGUAGCCGAACGACGGCCACCUAGGAGAGCCUCUAAUUACAGAUUGCAACAUUGUUGCAAUCGGUUAACAAGCGCCACACGUCCCUUAGUGUGUGGGCUAUUAAAAGAUAGUUCAUUUGGUUCAUGAACAGCCCGCAAAGGUGCUGUUCGUGAAACGAAACACAGUAAGGCUAUCUGCUUUCGGCAGAUAGCUGACAAGAUCAAUGAAACAUACAGAGAAGGCAGUCAAUUACAGCCAGGCACAUAGUACAGCACAAUAAAGAUAAAGAACUUUGUCCAAGUUAGUCCAAGUGGCUAGUUUUGCCACAGGUAGUUUUCAACUUCUUGUGCCAUUAUAUAGCUGUCCCGCGAGGCCAACUCCCAUCCUCAACUACGGAGGUAUUCGCCCCUUGGGCCAAAUCAUUCUUACUGCCUCGCAUCUCCGCCCUCUUGGCAAGAGCAGUUAGGGCCUCACAUGUCACGGCCAACUUAUUUAGAAUCUCUUUAAUCCUCAGAGGCCAACACCCCUCCACAACGCUCGGUGGCAAACAAACCCAACGGGCCAAAUCCUAGGUAGAACUUCUCAUCGCCACUUGGCAACUACUUAGGUUCCCAAGUCACUAAUUUAGCAUAACAUAGCUCAGCCAGUAUCUUGGUGUAAUACAGUAUCUCCCACUAACAAAUUUUCUUUUUCAGGUAUGGUUAUAAAUGCUGAUAAAAUGUAAAGUAUUGAUUGUGUAAUGUAAACAUGUAUUAAAGUGUUAAACUAUUAAGUUUUUCCCCUCUCUUUACAGACCUACCCGAAUGUCGAUUUCGGCACACCACAACCGACUUGUGCACCACUAACAUAACUCGGCUUAUUGUCCCUGUAAAGGAUUUCCAUAUACUUACCUGUGUGCCUUCAGUUAUAUCCCCUCCCUGCUGUUUAAAUACUUUUAACCGGUUCGUUUUUACUAUGUGUUUAAGAGAUGUAUUCUUUCUACCGAAGAGGGACCACCCUGGGUAGCAAUCAGAAUUUGGAACGUUGAGAAAACUGCAACAUAAUUGAGUGUUCCUGGGUGGCCAUCAUUCGGCAUACGAACACGUGACGAGAACAAAGGAUGGCGGCCAUCUUAAAUCUCCCGAAUGCGGUCAGCGGGACUUAUGCAUGAAUGGCCUGGAACUAUUUUCGGCAUGGCAACCACGCGAACGUCCGGUCAUUAUGGAAGUCCCGGCUGACUACUUUCUAUUCAAUAAAUCAAACCAGCAUUCGGGAGUUUGAAUCUACCGAAUGAGGGGAGCGUUUUCAUAUAACAUGCUGCAUCAUUCGUAUGGUAGUUUUCAUGUAAUUGGGCACGAACGG